GAGUUUUGAUCCUGGCUCAGGAUGAACGCUAGCUACAGGCUUAACACAUGCAAGUCGAACGAGAGAGAAGGAGCUUGCUUCUUCGAUCGAGUGGCGAACGGGUGAGUAACGCGUGAGGAACCUGCCUCAAAGAGGGGGACAACAGUUGGAAACGACUGCUAAUACCGCAUAAGCCCACGGGUCGGCAUCGACCAGAGGGAAAAGGAGCAAUCCGCUUUGAGAUGGCCUCGCGUCCGAUUAGCUAGUUGGUGAGGUAACGGCCCACCAAGGCGACGAUCGGUAGCCGGACUGAGAGGUUGAACGGCCACAUUGGGAAUGAGACACGGCCCAGACUCCUACGGGAGGCAGCA
rnacentral:rRNA from 1 species